ACGCUCGACACCUACGGGAGGCAGCAGUGGGGAAUAUUGCACAAUGGGGGAAACCCUGAUGCAGCGACGCCGCGUGGAGGAAGAAGGUCUUCGGAUUGUAAACUCCUGUUGUUGGGGAAAAAGAGGAUGGUACCCAACAAGGAAGUGACGGCUAACUACGUGCUAGCAGCUGCGGUAAUCUGAGCGGGCUGGCAAGGC
rnacentral:rRNA from 1 species